GAUGAACGCUGGCGGCGUGCCUAAUACAUGCAAGUCGAGCGAACGGACGAGAAGCUUGCUUCUCUGAUGUUAGCGGCGGACGGGUGAGUAACACGUGGAUAACCUACCUAUAAGACUGGGAUAACUUCGGGAAACCGGAGCUAGUACCGGAUAAUAUUUUGAACCGCAUGGUUCAAAAGUGAAAGACGGUCUUGCUGUCACUUAUAGAUGGAUCCGCGCUGCAUUAGCUAGUUGGUAAGGUAACGGCUUACCAAGGCAACGAUGCAUAGCCGACCUGAGAGGGUGAUCGGCCACACUGGAACUGAGACACGGUCCAGACUCCUACGGGAGGCAGCAGUAGGGAAUCUUCCGCAAUGGGCGAAAGCCUGACGGAGCAACGCCGCGUGAGUGAUGAAGGUCUUCGGAUCGUAAAACUCUGUUAUUAGGGAAGAACAUAUGUGUAAGUAACUGUGCACAUCUUGACGGUACCUAACCAGAAAGCCACGGCUAACUACGUG
rnacentral:rRNA from 1 species